UCUCAUCCAUCCAGCCCUCACGGAUGCUGUUGGGUGUCUGUCUAGCCACUCCAGCCUCCGUCCUAGUUCCCGUGCCCUCCUGUGGAAGGUGCUCCUUCUA